CCAUGUUGCCCAGGCCGGUCUCCAACUCGUGAGCUCAAGCGAUGCACCCGCCUCGGCCUCCCAAAAUGCUGGGAUUACAGGCGUGAACCACUGCUCCCGGCCUUCAUUACUUAUAUUCAACCAAGAGAGAAACUUAUCCCUCAGCCAGCGCCCUGAAAAGACAGAAUAUGGAUGAAUGUUUUCAUACUUUUCCUCUUCCAGGAGAAAUGGGAAAUUGGUGUUUUUCUUGCAGUGACACUGCAUCAUGCCAGGACUUCUGUGGCCACAUGUGAGGGAUUUCUCCCCACCAACAAACAGAGAGCAACCAACUGGCUGUCCUCCAGUUCAGUUCCAACACUUGUCUGCAUGAAGAUAGUGUCACAUCUCACAGAUUGAUGGCUCAGUUCCCAAUUGCACGUCCAGGCCUCUGAAACUUCUGACCGACCAACCUCAAGUUGAGGUUCCCAUGAACCCUUCUUUAAUUUGCUGGAGCAACUCUUAGAGGUCAGAGAAACACUCAGUUUUACAGGUUGAUUAUAAAUACUAUUACAGAAGAUACCAGUGAAGAGAUGCAUAAGGUGAGGUAUGGGGAAAGGGGUGCAGAGCUUCCCUGCCCUCCCUGGGUAUGCCGUCCUCCAGGAACCUCCACGUGUCAGCCAUCUGGAAGCUCCCCAAACCCACUGCACUCCAGCCUGGGUGACAAAGCAAAACUCCGUCUCCAAAAAAACAACAAAAAAAGAAAUUUACAUAUUUCUACAAAACUCAUAGCCACUUUUAUCUUUAUUUUCUCUUUUGAUUCUACCCAAAUUUCCAGUGACAAAGUCCCGAAUUCAGUGCUGAAAUUAGGCUUUUACAUGUGCUUUCUUCUAUAAGUGUGACAUUGUAAUAAAAGAAGUGGUUUGUUGUCCUUGAUAAUCUCA